GAUGAACGCUGGCGGCGUGCUUAACACAUGCAAGUCGAACGGACUUAUCAUGAAGCCUAGCGAUUGAUAAGUUAGUGGCGGACGGGUGAGUAACGCGUGGGUAACCUGCCGUAUACAGGGGGAUAACAGUUAGAAAUAGCUGCUAAUACCGCAUAAGCGCACGGAGUCGCAUGACUCAGUGUGAAAAACUCCGGUGGUAUACGAUGGACCCGCGUCUGAUUAGCUAGUUGGUGAGGUAACGGCCCACCAAGGCGACGAUCAGUAGCCGGCCUGAGAGGGUGAACGGCCACAUUGGGACUGAGACACGGCCCAAACACCUACGGGAGGCAGCAGUGGGGAAUAUUGCACAAUGGGGGAAACCCUGAUGCAGCGACGCCGCGUGAGUGAAGAAGUAUUUCGGUAUGUAAAGCUCUAUCAGCAGGAAAGAAAAUGACGGUACCUGACUAAGAAGCUCCGGCUAAAUACGUG
rnacentral:rRNA from 1 species